GUGUCAGCAGCCGCGGUAAUACGGAGGGGGCAAGCGUUACUCGGAAUUAUUGGGCGUAAAGGGCGCGUAGGCGGUCCCGCACGUCGGAGGUGAAAUCCCCGGGCUCAACCCGGGCACUGCCUCCGAUACGGCGGAACUUGAGUCCGGGAGAGGGGAGCGGAAUUCCCAGUGUAGCGGUGAAAUGCGUAGAUAUUGGGAGGAACACCAGUGGCGAAGGCGGCUCCCUGGACCGGUACUGACGCUGAGGCGCGAAAGCAUGGGGAGCAAACAGGAUUAGAUACCCCCGUAGUCC
rnacentral:rRNA from 1 species